rnacentral:rRNA from 1 species
AUUGAACGCUGGCGGCAUGCUUUACACAUGCAAGUCGAACGGCAGCGCGGGCUUCGGCCUGGCGGCGAGUGGCGAACGGGUGAGUAAUGCAUCGGAACGUGCCCAGUAGUGGGGGAUAGCCCGGCGAAAGCCGGAUUAAUACCGCAUACGACCUGAGGGUGAAAGCGGGGGACCGAAAGGCCUCGCGCUAUUGGAGCGGCCGAUGUCGGAUUAGCUAGUUGGUGGGGUAAAGGCUUACCAAGGCGACGAUCCGUAGCUGGUCUGAGAGGAGGACCAGCCACACGGGAACUGAGACACGGUCCAGACUCCGACGGGAGGCAGCAGGGGGGAAUAUUGGACAAUGGGCGAAAGCGUGAUCCAGUCAUGGCGCGGGGGUGAAGAAGGUCUUCGGAUCGUAAAGCACUGUAAGUUGGGAGGAAGGGAAGUAAGUUAAUACCUUGCUGGUGUGACGUUACCAACAGAAUAAGCACCGGCUAACUUCGUG